ACAAGAGAAGCUUGCUUCUUUUGGAAUCGAGUGGCAAACGGGUGAGUAACACGUAAACAACCUGCCUUCAGGAUGGGGACAACAGACGGAAACGACUGCUAAUACCGCAUGACACAUUGGGGUCGCAUGGCCCUGAUGUCAAAGAUUUAUCGCUGAAAGAUGGACUCGCGUCCGAUUAGUUAGUUGGUGAGGUAACGGCUCACCAAGACCGCGAUCAGUAGCCGGACUGAGAGGUUGAACGGCCACAUUGGGACUGAGAUACGGCCCAGACUCC
rnacentral:rRNA from 1 species